GCCUAACACAUGCAAGUCGAGCGGCAGCGCGAUAUGUAGCAAUACAUAUUGGCGGCGAGCGGCGGACGGGUGAGGAACACGUAGGAACCUACCCUCGAGUGGGGGAUAACCAAGGGAAACUUUGGCUAAUACCGCAUGAUUUCGAGAGAGCAAAGCUGCCGCAAGGUGGCGCUCGAGGAGGGGCCUGCGUCCGAUUAGCUAGUUGGUGAGGUAAGAGCUCACCAAGGCGAUGAUCGGUAACUGGUCUGAGAGGACGACCAGUCACACUGGGACUGAGACACGGCCAAGACUCCUACGGGAGGCAGCAGUGGGGAAUAUUGGACAAUGGGGCAACCCUGAUCCAGCGAUGCCGCGUGAGUGAAGAAGGCCUUCGGGUCGUAAAGCUCUUUAGGUUGGGAAGAAGAGUGAUGGAGGAAAUGCUAUCACUUUGACGGUACCGACAGAAUAAGCACCGGCAAACUCUGUGCCAGCAGCCGCCGUAACAC
rnacentral:rRNA from 1 species